AACUAACGCUGGCGGCGUGCCUAACACAUGCAAGUCGUACGAGAAAGUCGGCUUCGGCUGAUGAGUAAAGUGGCGCACGGGUGAGUAACGCGUGGAUAAUCUGCCCUUGAGUGUGGAAUAACGUACCGAAAGGUGCGCUAAUACCGCAUAAUGCCUGGCAACACAAGUUGUCCGGCCAAAGAAGGCCUCUGUUUACAAGCUUUUGCUCAAGGAUGAGUCCGCGUACCAUUAGCUAGUUGGUGGGGUAACGGCCUACCAAGGCUACGAUGGUUAGCUGGUCUGAGAGGAUGAUCAGCCACACUGGAACUGAGACACGGCCCAGACUCCUACGGGAGGCAGCAGUGAGGAAUUUUCCGCAAUGGGCGCAAGCCUGACGGAGCGACGCCGCGUGAGGGAUGACAGCUUUCGGGUUGUAAACCUCUUUUAUUAAGGAAAAAGAUCUAUAUGCUAAUAUCAUGUAGAUUUGAUGGUACUUAUUGAAUAAGCCCCGGCUAACCG
rnacentral:rRNA from 1 species